rnacentral:rRNA from 1 species
CGGAUGCUGACGAGUGGCGAACGGGUGAGUAAUACAUCGGAACGUGCCCGAGAGUGGGGGAUAACGAAGCGAAAGCUUUGCUAAUACCGCAUACGAUCUCAGGAUGAAAGCAGGGGACCGCAAGGCCUUGCGCUCACGGAGCGGCCGAUGGCAGAUUAGGUAGUUGGUGGGAUAAAAGCUUACCAAGCCGACGAUCUGUAGCUGGUCUGAGAGGACGACCAGCCACACUGGGACUGAGACACGGCCCAGACUCCUACGGGAGGCAGCAGUGGGGAAUUUUGGACAAUGGGCGCAAGCCUGAUCCAGCCAUGCCGCGUGCAGGAUGAAGGCCUUCGGGUUGUAAACUGCUUUUGUACGGAACGAAAAGACUCUGGUUAAUACCUGGGGUCCAUGACGGUACCGUAAGAAUAAGCACCGGCUAACUACGUGCCAGCAGCCGCGGUAAUACGUAGGGUGCGAGCGUUAAUCGGAAUUACUGGGCGUAAAGCGUGCGCAGGCGGUUAUGUAAGACAGAUGUGAAAUCCCCGGGCUCAACCUGGGAACUGCAUUUGUGACUGCAUAGCUAGAGUACGGCAGAGGGGGAUGGAAUUCCGCGUGUAGCAGUGAAAUGCGUAGAUAUGCGGAGGAACACCGAUGGCGAAGGCAAUCCC